rnacentral:rRNA from 1 species
CACGUAGGGGGCAAGCGUUGUCCGGAUUUAUUGGGCGUAAAGAGCUCGUAGGCGGUUCGGCAAGUCGGGUGUGAAACCCCCAGGCUCAACCUGGGGACGCCACCCGAUACUGCUGUGACUUGAGUCCGGUAGGGGAGCGUGGAAUCCCUGGUGUAGCGGUGAAAUGCGCAGAUAUCAGGAGGAACACCGGUGGCGAAGGCGGGUCUCUGGGCAGUAACUGACGCUGAGGAGCGAAAGCGUGGGGAGCGAACAGG